rnacentral:rRNA from 1 species
GAUGAACGCUGGCGGCGUGCCUAAUACAUGCAAGUCGAGCGAACAGACGAGGAGCUUGCUCCUCUGACGUUAGCGGCGGACGGGUGAGUACCCCUGGAAAAACCUCCUUUAAAGCCGGGGUUAAUUCGGGUAACCCGGGGCUAAUACGGGGCAAUUUAUUAAACCCCAGGGUUCAAUGUUAAAAGAAGUUUUUGUUGUCCCUUUAGGAUGGAUCCGGACCCCUUUACCUAGUUGUUAAGUUAACGGCUUACCAAGGCAACGAUGCGUAGCCUCCCUGAGAGGGUGAUCGGCCACACUGGAACUGAGACACGGUCCAGAGUCCUACGGGAGGCAGCAGUAGGGAAUCUUCCGCAAUGGGCGAAAGCUGGACGGAGCAACGCCGCGUGAGUGAUGAAGGUCUUCGGAGCGUAAAACUCUGUUAUUAGGGAAGAACAAAUGUGUAAGUAACUAUGCACGUCUUGACGGUACCUAAUCAGAAAGCCACGGCUAACUACGUG